AAUAUUAGUGAAUGGGGGAGGAGCCAAGAUGGCAGAACAGCAUGGAAGUUUUUUGUGUGUCUCACAUCCGUGAAAUACAGCCAGGCCAACACUAAACCACCCUGCACAC